AGAUAACGCUCGGAACUAUGAAUUAUUCUAAAGCGGGGAUUCCCAAUAGCCUUAUCUACGCCAAAACAAUAAUAAAGGAUAAACCAACAGUUAAAGCAGCUUUUCAACUCUAAUGACCAACUAUGGGUUGCUGUUAUUCACGAUCUCAAGACGAAGAUGUUCCUCCAGCUGUGCCAAAAAGAACAAAAUGUAAAUCAGAGAAUCAUAUACGGUGUAAGACGGAGAGAAACUUUUCUGAGACAAAACAUUUGCUAUAUGAAAGAUGUUGUUUCCCAGUGAGGCGGAGUGGCAUCGAGAAUAGUUUAAUACUUACCGUAGGAUCUGUAUGCCUAAAUGGGCCUUCUUUAUCGGGAGAUAUACAUAUUAACUCUGCAUACGAUCCAAAUAAAAUCGUCGACAAUUCCGAGAUAAAUGAACAAGGAAAGCCAUACAUCAGCAUUGUUCCUGAUGCACCACCUCCACCAGUGUUACAUAUAUAAACUGUAUAAUAAGGAUUAUUAUUACAUUUUUACCCGUGAAAUAUUGUAAUUUAUUCAUUGAAUAAAAAUGAUAUCCUGUCACAGUGUUACGAAUAUCAGAAGUGCGGGAAAACUCUCGAUCUCCCUUCCCAUAACGAUGAUUGCUAUAGAAAAAGCUUCCUUGACCUAAUAUAAGAUAAAUGGAGAUAAUAAUCAAUUCUGACAGCGAAUAAAACUGUCAAAAUUACGAAAAAUAUGUCGCUAAAUCCAUGUUUACAGUGUGUUCACCUCACUAGCUAUGACGUCUCAACCGCUCAACUAUGACGUCAUGUAGCCUAUGACUGUAAUACA